CUUCUUCAGAAAACUUUUGCUGGAUUUUCCUCCAUCCUGAAGCCCAAGCCCAGCGGGAAGCACACAGUGGGUCCAGAUGAGCUGUCAAUCAACUGGAGCAGCUAAGAGAAGAGCAGACGGUCUGACUGGACAUGGACCACACACCAUAUGUCCUGGUUUUCCUCUGCAUGUCCAUUCAAGGGCUCCUGUCUGAAAACAACAGCACUUCAACAGGGGCGGACCACUUCAGGUUGGUGGGAGG